ensembl:lncRNA novel transcript
AUUAUAUAUAAUAUGAUAUAUAAAUGUUAUGUUAUAUAUAAUAUGAUAUAUAAAUGUUAUGUGUUAUAUAUAAUAUGAUAUAUAAAUGUUAUAUGUUAUAUAUAAUAUGAUAUAUAAAUGUUAUAUGUUAUAUAUAAUAUGAUAUAUAAAUGUUAUAUGUUAUAUAUAAUAUGAUAUAUAAAUGUUAUAUGUUAUAUAUAAUAUGAUAUAUAAAUGUUAUAUGUUAUAUAUGAUAUGAUAUAUAAAUGUUAUGUUAUAUAUAAUAUGAUAUAUAAAUGUUAUAUGUUAUAUAUAAUAUGAUAUAUAAAUGUUAUAUGUUAUAUAUAAUAUGAUAUAUAAAUGUUAUAUGUUAUAUAUAAUAUGAUAUAUAUAAAUGUUAUGUUAUAUAUAAUAUGAUAUAUAAAUGUUAUAUAUGUUAUAUAUAAUAUGAUAUAUAAAUGUUAUAUAUGUUAUAUAUAAUAUGAUAUAUAAAAAUGUUAAUUUUUAUGGGGACACCUGAAACACAGUAUAUAUACUAUAUAUAUAUAUAUAUAUACAUAUAUAUAUUUAUGCAAAAUGAAAUCUCACAUGUCUAGUUCAUGCACCAUGGUCAGACUGGGAUUGGGUUAAAGGCCUUAUUUGGAAAGGUAAAUGAGAUGGGAAAAGAAGACUGGCUUGAGGUUUGACUGCAGAGGCGUACUAUAUGUAUAUAGUAUGUUUUGAGUGUCUCCAUAAAAACUUAUGCUGAAAUUUAGUUGCCACUGAUGGAACUGGGAGGUGGGGCCUUAAAAGGUGAUUGGGUCAUGAGGGUAGAGCCCUCACGAAUGGAUUAAUGCCAUUAACACAGGAUUGAGUUAGUUCUAGGAAGUGCAUUAGUUCUCACAAGAGCAGCUCAUCAUAAAGGUGAGCUUAGCUUGCCCUUGCGGUCUCUUCUGCAUGUACUUCUUUGCCCUCUCCCCUUCUGUCAUGAAAGCCUUCACCAGAUGGUCAAGCAGAUGCUGGUGCCAUGCCCUUGAACUUCCCACCACCAUCCCCCACCUAGCCACUAUAUGGGUUGUUAGAUAUUUUGACCACCUCCUCUUCGCUCACUCCACUAUUCAACUCACUGCAUCAUCAAUGUACUUAUUACAAACCUGUCACAAGCCAGGUCUUAUGCUAGGUGCUCCUCUCAACAGGUUCUUGAGCUGGCAGGGGAGAGAGAGACAUUCAAACACCAAGGAUUAAUAUACCAUUACAGGUUUAAAGACAGAGGCCUAUAAGGGUCCCCUGGCAGUGCCAUGGAGGUAGGGCAUGGUCGGCUGUACCUGUAGAGGUGUCUAAAGGGAGGCUUGCAAGCUGCCCCUUGAAGGACGAGCAGAAAAUUGUACAUGAGGACAAGUAGGAAAGGAAUUCCAGGAGGAGGGAUCAGCAUGUGCAAAGGCAUGGAGGUUGUCCAUAGAAUGUAGAGAGAAAAUAUUAAAACCUAUAUUUAUACUAA